rnacentral:rRNA from 1 species
CUACGGGAGGCACCAGUGAGGAAUAUUGCACAAUGGGGGGAACCCUGAUGCAGCAACGCCGCGUGGAGGAUGACGCAUUUCGGUGUGUAAACUCCUUUUAUAUGUCAAGAAAAUGACGGUAGCAUAUGAAUAAGCACCGGCUAACUCCGUGCCAGCAGCCGCGGUAAUACGGAGGGUACAAGCGUUACUCGGAAUCAUUGGGCGUAAAGGACGCGUAGGCGGGUUGGAAAGUCAGGUGUGAAAUCCUACAGCUUAACUGUAGAACUGCACUUGAAACUUCUAAUCUAGAGUAUGGGAGGGGGAGAUGGAAUUAGUGGUGUAGGGGUAAAAUCCGUAGAUAUCACUAGGAAUACCUAAAGCGAAGGCGAUCUCCUGGAACAUUACUGACGCUAAGGCGUGAAAGCGUGGGGAGCAAACAGGAUUAGAUACCCUCGUAGUC